AUGGGAUCCGCCGCUAGCUCCAACAACAACGCCACGCCCGACCUCGACCUGGAAGCGACGGUGAGCGAGAUCGUGCAGUCCGUGUUCCCAGGGGCUUCCCCAACGAAGGCGCAGCUCGCAAGCUCUCUCUGGGCAGUGGGUUCUGCCACGUUCGUCUUCGGCAUGAGCACCGUGUUACACCCGCCGCAGGCCGGACCAAUCUUCGGUCCGGUCUUCCACUACCUCAUCCUCGGCGUGGUCGUCGCCACCGCUGCGGUCGAGAUGGCGACCGCCGUCUUUCUGCGCGUCCCCGUCCUCUCCGACAAGCCGCGCCUCCACACCUUCGCAAGGCGUCUGCUGCCGUUCGCGUACCUUGUCCUCCUGGUGGCCGUCUCCACCAGCGGCCUCGCCAUCUCAUUCAAGCCCUGA
rnacentral:rRNA from 1 species